UACGUAGGGUGCAAGCGUUGUCCGGAAUUAUUGGGCGUAAAGAGCUCGUAGGCGGUCUGUUGCGUCGGCUGUGAAAACCCGGGGCUCAACUCCGGGCCUGCAGCCGAUACGGGCAGACUAGAGUUCGGCAGGGGAGACUGGAAUUCCUGGUGUAGCGGUGAAAUGCGCAGAUAUCAGGAGGAACACCGGUGGCGAAGGCGGGUCUCUGGGCCUGUACUGACGCUGAGGAGCGAAAGCGUGGGGAGCGAACAGG
rnacentral:rRNA from 1 species